rnacentral:rRNA from 1 species
GAUGAACGCUAGCGGCAGGCCUAAUACAUGCAAGUCGAACGGGAUUGCGGUAGUAGCUUGCUACUACUGCAUGAGAGUGGCGCACGGGUGCGUAACGCGUGAGCAACCUACCCAUAUCAGGGGGAUAGCCCGGCGAAAGUCGGAUUAACACCGCAUAACAUCAACAGUUCGCAUGUUCAGUUGAUUAAAUAUUUAUAGGAUAUGGAUGGGCUCGCGUGACAUUAGCUAGUUGGUAGGGUAACGGCUUACCAAGGCAACGAUGUCUAGGGGCUCUGAGAGGAGAAUCCCCCACACUGGUACUGGGACACGGACCAGACUCCUACGGGAGGCAGCAGUAAGGAAUAUUGGUCAAUGGGCGCAAGCCUGAACCAGCCAUGCCGCGUGCAGGAGGACUGCCCUAUGGGUUGUAAACUGCUUUUAUCAGGGAAUAAACCCCUUUACGAGUAGAGGGUUGAAUGUACCUGAAGAAUAAGGAUCGGCUAACUCCGUG